GUACACUCCUGCGGGAGGCAGCAGUGGGGAAUAUUGCACAAUGGGCGCAAGCCUGAUGCAGCCAUGCCGCGUGUAUGAAGAAGGCCUUCGGGUUGUAAAGUACUUUCAGCGGGGAGGAAGGCGAUAAGGUUAAUAACCUUGUCGAUUGACGUUACCCGCAGAAGAAGCACCGGCUAACUCCGUGCCAGCAGCCGCGGUAAUACGGAGGGUGCAAGCGUUAAUCGGAAUUACUGGGCGUAAAGCGCACGCAGGCGGUCUGUCAAGUCGGAUGUGAAAUCCCCGGGCUCAACCUGGGAACUGCAUUCGAAACUGGCAGGCUAGAGUCUUGUAGAGGGGGGUAGAAUUCCAGGUGUAGCGGUGAAAUGCGUAGAGAUCUGGAGGAAUACCGGUGGCGAAGGCGGCCCCCUGGACAAAGACUGACGCUCAGGUGCGAAAGCGUGGGGAGCAAACAGGAUUAGAAACCCGGGUAGUCCCAUGAU
rnacentral:rRNA from 1 species